rnacentral:rRNA from 1 species
GACGAACGCUGGCGGCGUGCCUAAUACAUGCAAGUAGAACGCACAGUUUAUACCGUAGCUUGCUACACCAUAGACUGUGAGUUGCGAACGGGUGAGUAACGCGUAGGUAACCUGCCUGGUAGCGGGGGAUAACUAUUGGAAACGAUAGCUAAUACCGCAUAAUAUUAAUUAUUGCAUGAUAAUUAAUUGAAAGGUGCAAUUGCACCACUACCAGAUGGACCUGCGUUGUAUUAGCUAGUAGGUGAGGUAACGGCUCACCUAGGCGACGAUACAUAGCCGACCUGAGAGGGUGAUCGGCCACACUGGGACUGAGACACGGCCCAGACUCCUACGGGAGGCAGCAGUAGGGAAUCUUCGGCAAUGGAAGAAAGUCGGACCGAGCAACGCCGCGUGAGUGAAGAAGGUUGUCGGAUCGUAAAGCUCUGUUGUAAGAGAAGAACGGGUGUGAGAGUGGAAAGUUCACACUGUGACGGUAUCUUAACAGAAAGGGACGGCUAACUACGUG